rnacentral:rRNA from 1 species
AUACGUAGGGAGCAAGCGUUACCCGGAAUUACUGGGCGUAAAGGGUGCGUAGGCGGCCUUAUAAGUCAGAGGUGAAAUCCUCCAGCUUAACUGGAGAAUGGCCUUUGAUACUGUAGGGCUUGAAUUAGGAUGAGGUCAGCGGAAUGUGGCAUGUAGCGGUGAAAUGCAUAGAUAUGCCAUAGAACACCGAUUGCGAAGGCAGCUGGCUAGACCUUAAUUGACGCUGAGGCACGAAAGCGUGGGGAGCGAACAGGAUUAGAAACCCCGGUAGUCC